AUUCGGCGCAGCGCUGCAGGUCGGCGCGGUCGAUGCCGCAGAUGUCGGCGACGGCGGCCGGGGUGUAGUCGCGCACCAGUUCCUUCAGGUCGGCGAAACCC
rnacentral:tRNA from 1 species